rnacentral:rRNA from 1 species
AUGGAAGAUCUCGGAGCGUCUCGUCCUCGCCGGCAACCAUACGGCGCUCCUCGCACUGACGCUGCCCAAACGGAGGGCCCAGAUCUCCCGGAGGACGUCUGGCACUAUAUACAUUCCUUGAUACCGCUGAGAGAUGCUGCCCGAGCCACCUGCGUAUCUCGGUCCUUUAUGUGUUCCUGGAGAUGCCAUCUCAACCUCAUUUGGAGUAGGGACACUUUGGGCUUGGAGGCAGAUGUGUUUGAAAAGAUAACAGCUAGAGAUUUCAGAACCAGAAUCGACCACAUUCUGAGCAAACCAUUCGGGCACCGGGUGAGGAAACUCAGCCUUUUGGUUGGUUCCAAAUUACAAUACGAAGGACCAUCAUUAUAUCAUCGAAUGGAUUCAGAAAGCAGUUACACCAGGGAUUGA